GGACGGUAGCAUAGGAAUAAGUGUCGGCUAACUACGUGCCAGCAGCCGCGGUAAAACGUAGGACGCGAACGUUAUCCGGAGUUACUGGGGGUAAAGCGGGGGUAGGCGGUUGAAUAAGUCUUCUAUGAAAGGUACCGGCUAAACUGGUAGAGCGUGGGAGAAACUGUUCAACUAGAGAGAAAUAGAGGGAAGUAGAAUUCCGGGUGUAGUGGUGAAAUGCGUAGAUAUCCGGAGGAAUACCAGUGGCGAAGGCGGCUUCCUGGAUUUCCACUGACGCUAAAGCGCGAAAGCGUGGGUAGCGAACGGGAUUAGAAACCCCGGUAGUCCACGCUGUAAACGAUGUACAUUAGGCGUUCGUAUACGUUAAGUAUAUGAGUGUCGUAGCUAACGCGAUAAA
rnacentral:rRNA from 1 species